rnacentral:lncRNA from 1 species
CGGUGCCACUGCACUAAAUCCCUGGCCUUAGUUCUUUUUAUAUUUUUGAGACAAGGGCUCACUAAGUUGCCCAGGCUGGCCUUGAAUUUGGGAUUUUCCUGCCUCUGCCUCUCAAGUAGCCAGAUUACUGGCAUGCACUACUCCACUGGCUUCACCCUUUUGAAAUAUGUAGUAUUGCUGGGUGUGGCGGUGCACGCCUGCAAUCCCAGCACUCAGGAGGCUCAGGCAGGAGGAUCACCAGGAGUUUGAGGCCAGCCUGGGCUAUAUAGUGAGUCUAAGGACAGCUUGUCUCAAAAAAAAAAAAAAAGUAUUGUGGAAAAUUUCAAGUAGAAAAUGCUGGAAAUAAAAGCAAACAGAGCUUUGUGAGCAGAUCAGCAGCUCCCUGUCCCCUUCUCACGAACUAAGCUCACAUGCCCUGUGGUUGUCGUAGGAGCAGGUGAAUCCUGGUCCAAAAGCUGCCCCAUCCCUUGGACUCCCGUGUCCUUGUCCUUUCCUUCUGAGCAGCCCAGCGUCGCCAGCCCCCGUGUGCAUGAGGGCUGCAGUGGUGGUUUGUUAGCUGUUGUGGUGACGCAGAGCAUUGUGAAUAAUGAGCUCCAAUCAUUGCCAUUUCUGCCUGCAGCCCGGAAUUGUGUCACCGUUUAAACGCGUAUUCCUAAAAGGUGAAAAGAGCAGAGAUAAGAAAGCCCAGGAGAAGGUGACAGAGAGGCGUGCUCUGCACACUGUUGUGCUGUCCCCGCCCGAGCGCGUCGAGCCGGACAGACUGCUGAGCGACUACAUUGAAAAGGAGGUGAAGUAUUUAGGUCAGCUGACGUCCAUCCCAGGGUACCUGAAUCCCUCCAGUAGGACAGAAAUCCUGCACUUCAUAGACAAAGCCAAGCGCGCCCACCAGCUCCCAGGACACCUGACACAGGAGCACGACGCCGUGCUCAGCCUGUCCGCCUACAAUGUCAAGCUGGCCUGGCGGGACGGGGAGGACGUCAUCCUCAGGGUGCCCAUCCACGACAUCGCCGCUGUCUCCUACGUGCGGGACGACGCCGCGCACCUGGUGGUCCUGAAGACAGCCCAGGACCCAGGCAUCUCCCCCAGCCAGAGCCUAUGCACAGAGAGUUCUAGAGGCCUGGGCUCGGGGCCCCUGCCGGAAAGCACGGUGGCGCCAGUGGAGGCCUGCUGCCUGGUCAUCCUGGCCGCAGAGAGCAAGGUGGCUGCGGAAGAGCUGUGCUCCCUGCUCGGCCAGGUCUUCCAGAUCGUUUACACGGAGUCCACCAUUGACUUUCUGGACAGAGCAAUCUUCGAUGGCGCCUCCACGCCUACCCACCACCUGUCCCUGCAUAGCGAUGACUCUUCCACCAAAGUUGACCUGAAGGAGGCCUACGACACUGAGGCCAGCACCUUCUGCUUCCCCGACUGCGCGGACGCCGGCGGGCUGCCACCGCUGUCCUGCAUGCAGGCGUCGCCCCACGGCAAGACGGUGAGCGAAAGUGAGCUGAGCGCCAGUGCGGCUGAGCUGCUGCAGGACUACAUGCUCACGGUACCGGCCUGGGCCUGGGGUGCAGGGUCUGCGGUGCCCAGCUGCCCGCUGCCCCCUGGGCUUCAGCUGGUGCCCCUCUGCCCUGCUGUCUGCAGCUGCGCACCAAGCUGUCCUCGCAGGAGAUCCAGCAGUUCGCGGCGCUGUUGCACGAAUUGUUCCAGGGUGGCUUGCAAAGUUAGGAUUAGCGUAAGUUCGUGGGGUGGGGGCUCGGGGCUUCCGCCAGGCUCAGGAGAAGGUGCUGCAGAGGAGCCAGGGGCCCUUCAGGGAGGUGACACUGAGUGUGUAGGAAUUUGCUGGGGGAAGAGGCAGGGAGACCUGUCCCAGGUGGCAGGACUGGCCUUUGCCAAGACCCUCGAGGAGCUCAGUGCCUUAGGUCAAUGGCUGGCAACACCCGGGGCUGGAACCUGCAGUGCUGCCCCUCAGGGGACAUCGCCCCUGCUGUGGUUUCUCCUCUGCCAGUGCUGAGCACAGCGAAUUGGCAGAAGCUCCUGAGGCCUCCUGGGUCCGGGCCUGUACCCUGAACCACGGGAGGUGGGUUUAUCCCCCCCACGGCCUUUUUGGUUUGUUUUGAGGUAGUAGGGAUUAAACCCAGGGCCUUUGCACCGAGCUGCGUCCCCAGCCCUUUUAAUUUUGAGACAGGGUCUUUCUGAGUUACCCAGGCUGGACUGGAACUUGUGAGCCUCCUGCCUCAGCUUCCCAGAGUGCUGGGGUCACAGGCCUGCACCACCUCGCCUGGCUUGUUUCCCCGUUCAUGGGCCUGGCAGGUGUCAGCCACCUCCCCAAGGCCCCACUCCUGGCGGGAUGAAGAGGAAUAGGCUCCCUGCUCUGUCCCUUUCAGGAGACUGCCUCAGAGGCCACGGCCAGCGGCUUCCUGUCCGGCUCUCCAGCAGGGUCACUUUUGAGGAGUGGGCAGCAGAGGGCUGAGCCAUGGCCUCGCUGGCCCUGCUGGCUGCCCCAGCAGGCUCUGCCUUCCCUCGGAGCCCAGGCUCUGGGGGUGGGGCCUGGCCACUCCCCACUCGUACUCUAUGCCUGGGAUCGGGCCCAACCUGGCCGUCUGCUUGCUGUGGGGUUCAGAGGUCCCGAGAGACCCUGGGCCUCCAGAUUGCGGGUGGUCACCCUGGGCCGGGCCGUAGCUUUGGCAUGAGGCCUGGCUGGGGAUGGCAGCUCAUAGCCAAGGCCACCAGUGGGUUCCAGGACUUCCUUGUCUGUAAGAUGGGGACUGUGAGGACUGAUGAGCAGAGGUCACCUUUGGUGACAGCAAGCUGUCGGGGCUAGGGUCUUUGGGCAUGGCUGUGCGCUGUCUGGGUCCUCAGCCGGGUCCGUGUUGCAGGUCUGAGGCCCUUCAUCCCUGAGAAGGACAGCCAGCACUUCGAGAACUUCCUGGAGACCAUCGGCGUGAAGGACGGCCGCGGCAUCAUCACUGACAGCUUCGGGAGGCACCGCCGGGCGCAGAGUGUCGCCUCCACCUCCACCGCCAAUGGGAGCAGGGCCGCGGGCAGCCCCGACGACCACUCAGGGCCCUCUGAGGGGGACGAGUGGGACCGCAUGAUCUCGGACAUCAGCAGUGACAUCGAGGCGCUGGGCUGCAGCAUGGACCAGGACUCAGCAUGACAGGCAGUGGCGGGAGCACCCCACCCUCCGCCAGGCCUUCCCUCAAGGAGGCACCAGCCCCCUGCGGGCCUUUGCGGCAGCACAGGUGGCCAGCGGCCGGUCCUCUACUGUGAAGGGGCGUGGGGCCUCCGCAGGACCCAUUGGGUGCAGGGCAGAGGCUCCACGCUUGUCCUGGGCUCUAGCAGGCCCUGCACCAGCCCCACAGGGGAGGCCAGGCCCAGCCUCACCAGCAGGAGAGCCAGGCCUGUGGGCGGGCCAGACAUCUGUCACUUUUGCACACAACGUUCCUCAUGUAACUCUCAGAGAACUUAAAGAAGUUUACUGCAAUGUGAAUAAUUUAAUCUCCCGUUGCCGGGCUUUUUCUGACCUGCCUGGAAGAAAGCUGUGUUACCACGAGGGUCGUCCACUCUGGCCUCUGUCCCUCAGGCCACCCGUCUUCCUGUGUCCUGGGAGGGUGCCGAGGCUCGCGGCUGUGGCUCUUGUGGACCCAGGGCGAGUGUUCUGGGUCUCAGGGUCACAGGCCAGUGGCUGGGGGUGACGCGAAAGCCUUGAUCUUUGUCCCGUGCAUGGAUUCCCAUGGGGACCCUGGCUUGCUGUGGUCCUGCCCAGCCCUGCUGGUGACAGAUGCCCCCCUGUGAGGCCUUGGUCUCGGCCCAGGGUCGGGGCUUCCGAGAAGCUGAUGUGGGCCACACCUCCAUCCUUGGCCCUGGCCCCGUCCUGAUCCCUAGUCAGCUCCUCCCGAGCCCUGCUGGCCUCCGUGUGGCCUCUGUCCUCUGGGCCCUUUCUGACCUUCUGUGGGACAUGGGGAGAGGACCUGGGUCAGGACACUGGGCUCUGCUGAGACACGAGGCGCAGCCAGGAGCUCCCCUCCUGCCCAUGCUGGGGGCUGUGUCUGCUGGGGAGAGGGCUGCCCUGGACACUGCCUGUCCCAGCCAGCCCAGAGGUCCCUGAGCAAGGUGGGCAGGUCCGUGUGGUGUCAGCCCAGCAUGGAGCCUGGGCCAGGUCUUCUGUUUGCUUUUUGAGAUAGGGUCUGGCUGUGCAGUUCAGGCUCGCCUUGCACUUGGACUGGGUUUUACAGAGAUUUCUGUUGUGCUCCCUUGUGUUGGAGCUACCCCUAGUCCCUGGGGGCCUCAGGAUUGGCAAAGACAAAUCACAGACUCAUCCCUGGGUCCUGCCCAGUGGGUCCCAGUGCCACACAGGUGGAGCAUGGCCUCAGCGCCAUCUGUAGUCACAGGGGCCACAGGCCUGAUGCCACAGCAUGGCCCAGAUGGCUCAGAGCUCACCAGCUGCCAUCAGGGAGGCGAGAGGAUGUGGGGCAGAUGGGCCCUUGGCCCUGACCGAGCCUGAGGGGACAGCAGAGGAUGGUGAGGGGACGUAGGACUGACAAAGGGAUGCCAGAUGGUGAGGGGACACCAGAGGGCAAUGAGAGGACGUCAGGGUGACGAGGGGACACCAGAGGGUGCAGGGGCACCGAGGUUUCCAGGGCACACUGGGGACAGUGAGGUGACACCAUGGAGUCCGGACAGCGAUUUAUUGGGUGGCAGCGCCCCUGGGGAGGGCGGGGUGGAGCUGGCUCAGGCGGCAGCUACAUUGUCAGCUCCUGCAGAGAGAGGUGGUGGCCAGGGUCACCCGGGGCACCUCCCCAGUGCAGCCCACAGCGGCACCUUGGGGCCGCUGGGACAUCGGGAAGCUGGAGGGGCCCGCGCUUCUCACCAUGAUGGCGUUGACAAUGUCGCUGUGGUUGUCCCUCAGAGCCCGCACGGCCUUGGCCCUGGACACACUGGCCUGUGCCAUCACCAGCUCGAUGUCACGCAGCUCCAGGCCCGACUCAUCCACCUGCUGGGGAUCGGCGACGUCACGGGGGCCCGAGGCAGCCCCUACCCUGCGGGCUUCUGGGACCCUGGGCCUCACCUCUUCCUCCUCCUCCUCGAACUCUGGCCUCAGCCGGGGUCGGGAUGCCACCUCGGGGACCAGGGCCAAGGACUCUGAGGGCACCCUGAACUUCUCUGCUGCGGCUUUGUGCACUUGUUGGGACAGGUCCUCGAUCUGCGGCAUGGGAGCUGCGUCAGCAGAGCCUGCAUGCGCCCCAACCCCCACCGCACCCCAACCCCCGCUGCGGCACAGACCUUGGCCUCGCCGAAGACCACAUAGGUGUCAGAGGCCGGGCUUUUGAAGACGUCGGGCUUGGCGAUGACAAAGAGGAUGUUCUUGGACUUCUGGAUGGUGAUCCUCGUCACGCCUUGAAUCUGCCGCAGGCCCAGCUUCGACAUGGCCUGAGACAGAGGGCCCAGGUCGGGCAGGGGACAGGUGCUGCUGCCAAUGUCCCCAUGACCCUGGACACCUGUGACCCUGGUCUCAGCUGUUUAGGGGAAGGGGUGCAGGUUCCCAGAUGGUCCCAGAGUCCCCUUUCAGAUAGGAUUUCAUUAGCACGGGUGAGGGUCUUCAUGGGGACAUCCCUGUCCCACGUUCCCAGUCCUGGGGUCCCCGUGGGGCUCCCCUUACCUUCCGAGCCUUCUUCUCACUGCGGCUCUGCUUGGCUUUGGCGAUGGUCUCCUCACUGCUGCCCGUUGGGGGCUGUGGGAGAGGGGCUCUGAGUUCCUGUGGGGCUGCAGGGCCACCUGAGGCCACCCCCCACCCCCCGCCCUGUCACCUGGGCUGGGCACUUUGCGUGAGGGGCCGAGAGGUCCUGCUCGUCAGGCUCGGCUGAUGACUCCCCGUGGCUGUCCGAGUGCUGGCCAGAGCCUGGGGCCCUUGGGAAAUCUGGGGAGGGACAGGUGUGAGACACACUGGGGCCGGUCACCCGCCCGGGAUGGUAGUGCUCCGCAAGAACUCACCUUCCUCCAGGCUGUCCUCGUCCUUUUGUUGCUCUGGGGCUGGGAGCCCUUGAGGACCACGUGGGCCCCGGGGCCCCAAGGGAGGAGGCACUUGGCAGGGGGUUGAGAUCCUCGAGGCUGGCUCUUUGCUAUCUGCGGAAGCCGCCUUGGGGCUGAGGGGGGGUUGGGGUGCCAGGCUGACAUGAUGCUUGGCUCCCCGAGGCUGUGUGGU